UACGUAGGGUGCGAGCGUUUGUCCGGAAUUAUUGGGCGUAAAGGGCUCGUAGGCGGUCUGUUGCGUCAGGAGUGAAAACUCGGGGCUCAACCCCGAGCCUGCAGUCGAUACGGGCAGACUAGAGUGCUGUAGGGGAGACUGGAAUUCCUGGUGUAGCGGUGAAAUGCGCAGAUAUCAGGAGGAACACCGGUGGCGAAGGCGGGUCUCUGGGCCGAUAUUGACGCUGAGGAGCGAAAGCGUGGGGGAGCAAACAGG
rnacentral:rRNA from 1 species